rnacentral:lncRNA from 12 species
AUGGCUCCGUCGGAAUGCGGGGCCUCCACUCCGCCGCGGGAGUGCCCUCCAAGCGCACGACCCCGGGGUCCGGACCGCGCCGCGGCCAGGACUGGACCAGGAAGCUUCCUCCCGACGCCCCGGCUCCCCGAUCGGUCCCUCGCCGGGGCCCGCAGGCGCCUGUCCGCGCCGCCCGCAAAUUCACCGCGAGGCCGCUCGCCUCGAGUCUGCAACCCCCCCGGGCCCUCGCCCUUUCUCAGUUCGCAGCCGCUCCCGCGAGGGCGAAGCGCGCCGAGGCCGGCGCUGUGGCUGCCCCGCGGCGGCCUGCGGCCCGGCUCCCAGCGCCCGGAGCCUCCCUCCCCGCUGCCUCCCGCCGGGCCGGCCUCGCUCCGGGGCCCCGCGCAGCCACCGCACGAACGCGUCCCGGGUCCCCGCCGCCCCUCGCAAUCCCGUGGCCCGCCCGCCCCCGCGCUGCCCGUGGCCCGGCCGGCCCGGGAGGCGGCCCGACCCCGGGGACGCCGCCCGCGAGGCCAGGGGCCGACCCGGAGGGCCCGGCGACGAAGCCGGGACUCACCUUUCCCCGGCGCGGCCCGUCUUCGCUCCGGUCUCCGCGGCGUCUCCGGCUCCUCCUCAUCCACCCUAGCAGGAAGUGACCUCCGCGGCCGCUGUCGUCACUUCCGCCCAUGGCCGGGGGCGGGGCCGUCCGCCGGGCUCCCCGCCUGGGCCGCGCCCCCGGCCUGCUCCUCCUCGCCGCAGAGGCCGACUUCCGCCGCCCGGUCCCCGCCCCCGCCCCCGCCCCCGCCCCCGCGCUUCCCCCGCCGGCGCCGCGCUACGUCACGCCGCGGGGGACGUCACGCACGCUCGCGGACGGCGGUGUGGCCCCGACGGCGGGCUGGAGGCCGGGGGGCCGCCGCGCCGGGGACCUCUAGUCGCCCACCUCCGCGGACGUCGCAGCGCUCUGCGCCCCGAGGGCCUUCCGCGCUGGGGGAGCGGCGCCGCAGGUGCCCCGGGACCCGGCCGCGCCGCCCGAGCCCUCUCCGUGGUGUCCCCCGUGCCUGCGCGCAGACCCAGCAGCAGUUGACUCGCCUUCCCCCUGGGUCGCUCGAAAACAUCCUUUCCUUUUCUUCCGCUGUGUUCUCCGCGCGGGCGGUCGCCAGGGCCGGGUCCUUGCCCGGAGCCCGCGGGGGGGCGGGGGGCGCCCGCAGCCCCGGCCCCUUCCCCCUCGGCAGGCCCAGCGCAGCCCGGGGCACCAGCCUACCUGGAGGGCGGGGAGGAGCCGCCCCCUUGAAGGGCUGGCGGGGCCCCGGGGGCACCGGUACCUCCCGAGGCCGCGGCCGGUGCGAGAGGCCCCCCCCCCAGUACCCCCCGUCCGUGCUGCUUCCGCUGGCCGCUCUCUAG